rnacentral:rRNA from 1 species
GACGAACCGUGCGAACGUUAUUCGGAAUCAUUGGGCUUAAAGCGCGUGUAGGCGGAUUCGUGCGUCUGUCGCUGAAAUCCCCCGGCUCAACCGGGGAACGGGCGCGGAUACGACGAGUCUGGAGGGGCAUAGGGGGGACCUGGAACUUCCGGUGGAGCGGUGAAAUGCGCAGAUAUCAGGAGGAACACCGAUGGCGAAGGCAGGUCUCUGGGCCACUACUGACGCUGAGAAGCGAAAGCAUGGGGAGCGAACAGG